GGAAUUUUGCGCAAUGGGCGCAAGCCUGACGACGCAACGCCGCGUGGAGGAUGAAGGUCUUCGGAUUGUAAACUCCUGUUGCCCGGGACGAAUGGCUCCGACCUAACACGUCGGAGUGUGACGGUACCGGGUGAGGAAGCCCCGGCUAACUCUGUGCCAGCAGCCGCGGUAAUACGGGGGGAGCAAGCGUUGUUCGGAUUUACUGGGCGUAAAGGGCGCGUAGGCGGCCACCGCAAGUCGACUGUGAAAUCUCCGGGCUUAACCCGGAAAGGUCAGCCGAUACCGCGGGGCUAGAGUGCAGAAGGGGCAACUGGAAUUCUCGGUGUAGCGGUGAAAUGCGUAGAUAUCGAGAGGAACACCUGCGGCGAAGGCGGGUUGCUGGGCUGACACUGACGCUGAAGCGCGAAAGCUAGGGGAGCGAAC
rnacentral:rRNA from 1 species